rnacentral:misc_RNA from 1 species
GAUGAAGAACGUAGCGAAAUGCGAUAAGUAAUGUGAAUUGCAGAAUUCAGUGAAUCAUCGAAUCUUUGAACGCACAUUGCGCCCUCUGGUAUUCCGGGGGGCAUGCCUGUUCGAGCGUCAUUAUAACCACUCAAGCUCUCGCUUGGUAUUGGGGUUCGCGGUUUCGCGGCCCCUAAAAUCAGUGGCGGUGCCUGUCGGCUCUACGCGUAGUAAUACUUCUCGCGAUUGAGUUCGAUAGGUCUACUUGCCAGUAACCCCCAAUUUUUACAGCUUGACCUCGGAUCAGGUAGGGAUACCCGCUGAACUUAAGCAUAUCAAUAAGCGGAGGA